rfam:Microdochium bolleyi strain J235TASD1 unplaced genomic scaffold Micbo1qcscaffold_66, whole genome shotgun sequence.
UCUCGAUUGGUCUAGUGGUCAGGAUACCUGCUUGUCACGCAGGUGGCCGGGGUUCGAUUCCCCGAUCGAGAG